GGGCGGUGGUGUUCCACCAUAGUUGUUGGGCGGUGGUGUUCCACCAUAGUUGUUGGGCGGUGGUGUUCCACCAUAGUUGUUCUGCGGCAUCCCUCCGAGGUUGUUCUGUGGCAUCCCUCCGAGGUUGUUCUGUGGCAUCCCUCCAAGGUUGUUCUGUGGCAUGCUUCCCAUAUUUGGUGACAUGUUGCUGCUGGAAGGGACGUUGUUAGGGGGCAUGCCACUCAUAUUAGGUGCAGGGUUUGGCAUACCCUGGUUCUGAAAAUUGCGGUUCUGCAUGUUCUCCCUUCUUCUUUCAAAGUUUCUAGAUCUAUCGUAGCUGCGAGGCCUAUCAUUGCGCCUAUUACGCUCAUUAGC
rnacentral:lncRNA from 1 species